CACCUCCACCUCCCCCUCUCCCUCUCCCUCUCCUCCUCUCUCUGUCGCGAUACAGGGUUUCUUUCCGGAUGAUGGAGGCGGAAGCCCUCGACCCGGAGAAGGAUCGAUUCCGCCGCCCCUUCGCCAACAUCAAGGAAACUAGGCGGUUAUAAGGAUCCGAAUCGGUCAGCUUCAUCACUAGCGGUCGAGAUCGGAGGGCGAUCGAUCGAUGCGGUGGGCGAUUUGCGACGUUAGGGUUUGUGGAGGACAUUGGGCCGCUAAACUUGUUCCGGCAGAAAUACCGAGGUCUUGUAGGUUAUCUUGGAUCUCCUGGUUCAUGUGUUGCUCAUUGCCUCUUUGAUUAUUCUCUGUCUGUCUAUUGUGUAGAUCUACUUUGUGGCAAAUCGCUUUAAGAUACAAAAGCAAUUAUGCUGAUGAUACCAACGCUUUUUGACAAGGGGGAAAGAUUAGUCUGCUAGGAAAGCAGGGGGGGGGGAUCUCAUCCUGGUAUCAAUGGGAACUACCAGGUACUCCUCUUUCUGAUACGAUUUGUUACUCUUAUACAAAGGCAUGAAUUAGUUCUGGAAGCUGCUCUAAUUCAUAGCUUUGAAUAAAAUAGUUCAAUAGAUUAAGAUUUUCCAGUGUUCUUUGACAUUUUUUUAA